GCUGAUUCGUCCCGUUGCCUUCUUACGCUUAAUUAAGAAAUGAACAACUAUACUUCUCAAACCUGAAAAUUAAUAUUUCAUGCGAAUAACAUUUUUGCACAUUUAUUCUUAGUAGUGUGUAAUUUCGGUUCCAGUUUGAGGUCAGGAGUGCCAAAAUUUUGAGUUCGCAUUUGUCCAAUGUAGUUUUAUUACCUUAUAUUUUGAAAAAAAAAAACA
rnacentral:misc_RNA from 1 species